ACUCCCUUUCUCUCUCUUUUCUUUUCCUGCAAGCAUUUUAAUGGUUUUUGUCUCAUUGAGACCCAAAAGUUGUGAUUUCUAUUAGUUUAUAAUGGUUCACACGGAUUCAAGAGGAAUCCUUGUGAAAUGAUGUUUAUCCCACAUCGAUUUUUGACAACUAAGUUGUGAUUUUAGGGUUCUAUAAUAGCUUAGUAUACCUAGGGAUCUAGCAAAUUUUUGCUGGAACCUUUAACUUACUAAGUUUUUCUAGUCUAAAAUUUUAAAAUUCUCUUUGUUCUGUGGCUGAGUAUCGAGUUGAGUAGUAUAAGGAGCUUCCAAUUUCAUUCUCGACAAGGCUACGCAAAAGAAAGAGUUUGUUACAGGAUUCGCGUCUCAGCCUUAUGGGUGACCCAAGGCCUAUUGCUAGGAGAUUCCUGGGUGAGCACUGCUAGAUUCUUAGUCCGAAAUUCCCUUCCUUGCUUAUCUGUCUAUUUGAUUCCACAGACAUAUUCUAUUUAUGUAUUUUAAGACGUAGUAAUCUUUAGACUUACUUUUACCGAUUAGUGGCCCUUGUACUAUGGCUCAAACCAAAUCUUUGGGUUGUGGUGGUAUUCCAAACUUUAUUUAAGUAUUUAGAUAUAUCGAGACUGCUUAAUAAUCA